UUGGAAGUAAAAAGUCGUAACAAGGUUUCCGUAGGUGAACCUGCGGAAGGAUCAUUACCGAGUUGAUUCGGGCUCCGGCCCGAUCCUCCCACCCUUUGUGUACCUACCUCUGUUGCUUUGGCGGGCCGCGGUCCUCCGCGGCCGCCCCCCCCUCCCGGGGGGGUGGCCAGCGCCCGCCAGAGGACCAUCAAACUCCAGUCAGUAAACGAUGCAGUCUGAAAAACAUUUAAUAAACUAAAACUUUCAACAACGGAUCUCUUGGUUCUGGCAUCGAUGAAGAACGCAGCGAAAUGCGAUAAGUAAUGUGAAUUGCAGAAUUCAGUGAAUCAUCGAAUCUUUGAACGCACAUUGCGCCCUUUGGUAUUCCGAAGGGCAUGCCUGUUCGAGCGUCAUUACAACCCUCAAGCUCUGCUUGGUAUUGGGCACCGUCCUUUGCGGGCGCGCCUCAAAGACCUCGGCGGUGGCGUCUUGCCUCAAGCGUAGUAGAACAUACAUCUCGCUUCGGAGCGCAGGGCGUCGCCCGCCGGACGAACCUUCUGAACUUUCUAGAAGGAGACCGGAGGCUGCAGGAAAGAUGUACGAC
rnacentral:rRNA from 1 species